GUGUGUAGACUCUUCACUAGUCGCUUCGUGGCUAUUUUUGCGGAAAAUGCCUUCGCCAGGGUGUAAAACGGAAACGCGCGGACGGGAAGGGGGUCGUAAUGCCGUAUUUUUCUUCACAUCUUCGAACAAAACCGCACUACCUAAGCCACAAUACUGAAAAUGGCUAAUGUUCUCCAACAGUGUCGUCACUCAUCAUUGUUGAGUAUGGAGUAUGGAAAGAGAGAUACUUGAACAUGUUGGAAUGUCACCUUGAGGACCAAGAUAUGGGGAGAAUAAUGCUUGAAUGGUGCACAGAUGAGUCUUUUCAACUCUGGUAUGCUUCUCCAAGAAAACGGCCAUGCACAUCACCAGAAUGCUAGAACAGGAUCAGGGAGUGAAUAUCUGAGGAAGGGUUCUUUUCCAGUACUUUGAUACAAUUGUCUUCACUUCAUUUUUUUGCUGUUGGUAUCCUUUGCUCUUCUUUUUUGAUGAAUUCCUGCCUGCAUUCUCUCGUCAAUCAAUCAAGAUAGCGUGCUAUUUCGCAUUCCAUUGGCCAUGUCAUAAUCUACGCAUGAACAUGGACACUGAGUUAAAACUAGUAGCUUGCUCAAUCCCGUACAUCUCUUGACUGUCACCAGCUAGUUAUUCCUAGAAGUUUGAAAGCUACUGUACCACAGCCAAUUUGAAUAGCACCAUCUCAAGACAUAAACUCCUGUACCUUGUAACACCAGGAUGUAAUAAAUUGACAGGUUUAUGACUUAUUUGCAAAGAAAAUAAUAUUUUCUUUGUUGUUGGGGUGUUUCCAUGCAUUCCUGUAUUUCAAUAGUGAUCUAAUGACCAUCUUGCUUUUUAAAACCCAAAUUCGCAAUAUUUUUCUUGUUUGAUGAAAGGUUAGGUACUUCUGGGUGGAUAUAAAUGACACACAUGUUGGGCUAAUAAGCAACGGUUGUAUCAUACUUAACUCAGUUUUGCCAAGAGAUGGACUGACUUUAGGUCAUUCUUAUUAUUCAAGUCUAUUGUCUCACUUAUCUUGUUUAAAAAUUAAGAAUCGAUGCUUAACCCUAAAUAGACUGGGCUAUUUUGAUGCCUAAGAAGACCUGGGGGAGGGGGGGGGGGUUGGGGGCUGAUUCAGCCCCCCCCCCUUUUGAUCUCGGCCGUUUAUCGCGCAAUCGCGACGAAAAUUGGCACUCGCUUUACCCAUGGCAUUAUCCACAAAACUGUAAUAUCAAAUUCUGCGAAAAAUCUCAUUGCUCAUUGAUUAUGUUAAUUUAUGCGUAAAAUCAUAAGUUUGCUCUAAUUAAGAAAAUAAUGACGAAAAUUGGCACUCGCUUUACCCAUGGCAUUAUCCACAAAACUGUAAUAUCAAAUUCUGCGAAAAAUCUCAUUGCUCAUUGAUUAUGUUAAUUUAUGCGUAAAAUCAUAAGUUUGCUCUAAUUAAGAAAAUAAUGCCCCUAAAAUGCUAAUUUUUGUUUCACAUACUCUUUAUAGGCAUCUGAUAAAAUUUAUUUCAAAAAAAUUUCAACAUCACAUUUAUUUUUGUAUGUAUUUUAUUGUUUUCUAAAUUUCUUAUUUAUUUCUUUGUUUUUCGACUUUUUGAUUUUUGUUGUUUUUUCAAUGGAAAUUGUCAGAGACUUUAUUUUGACCAUAAACAAGAUAAGAUUAAUUGAUUCUAAGCAGUAAAAGGAAAAAUAUGAUACAUUUUAUGAAUUUUGGCUAAAAACACUAUUUGCAUUGGAUUUGUACACAAAUUCACAUUUUUGAGCAAUUUUGGGUCUGCAUGCAAUUACAAAAUGUUGUGUUAUUUCGGAACCGCUUACCCGUGGGUCACAAUUUUGGUCUCAAAAGUUGCGCGAGACUAGAAAGUAAAAAGUCAGCGAGUGACGCGGUAAAAAAAAAUCGUGCGGCGGAUUUAUCACGAAAAAUGUUGAGGGGGGGCUGAAUCAGCCCCCCCGUCUUCUUAGGGUUAAAUCCUCAUGAUUUCAAUUUUAAGACCAGUUUAUUCAUAAAAUAGUCAUUUGCCCUGGCAUAUGCAGCUCCCUAAUGUGUCAAAUUUAAAUCAUAUAAUUUCAUUUUGGUGAAUUGGUAUCCUUUUACUUUCCAGCUUUUCAUAGGCACAUCAGUACACUGAAAUGAGCACUAUAUGAAUGCAAACUACCAGUAAUAUUAUCAAUUUAAUAUUACUAUUAUGAUUGAAUCAUCCUUCUUUAGUGUUUUGCAGAAAUAUAUUUGAUAAAUGUAGACAGUAAAUUUAAUCUUUGUAUCAUAUAAAUGAGUUUUGAUCUAAUUAAAAAAACGACAAUGUACUGAAUAAACUAAUCUAUCUACUAUAAAUGUACAUACGUUUUGUUUAUAUAUAUUGUAAUUCAGGUGUGUUAUCAGCAGAAAAUAUGAUUUUUUUUCUCUCUCUCUCCAUGUGCUUGUGUUCAUAGUUAUUACAGGAGGC